rnacentral:lncRNA from 1 species
AUCGCUUUUCAAAAUCUGACAUUUAAGUCAGGUUCUGUCACAAACAUAUUACACUGCUAAAGUCGUUAUCAGAUCUGCUUGACUAUACGGUAUGGGUUUUGUUCAUUUCUGUAUCAUUUGCUCUCUUGUAGAAUAGAGAGAGGGACGAAAGAUACCAGAGGGACAGUCAAACUCAUAACAUAGAAAACUAAAGACUAAGCA